rnacentral:rRNA from 1 species
AUUGAACGCUGGCGGCAGGCUUAACACAUGCAAGUCGAGCGGAGAUGAGGUGCUUGCACCUUAUCUUAGCGGCGGACGGGUGAGUAAUGCUUAGGAAUCUGCCUAUUAGUGGGGGACAACAUUCCGAAAGGAAUGCUAAUACCGCAUACGCCCUACGGGGGAAAGCAGGGGAUCUUCGGACCUUGCGCUAAUAGAUGAGCCUAAGUCGGAUUAGCUAGUUGGUGGGGUAAAGGCCUACCGAGGCGACGAUCUGUAGCGGGUCUGAGAGGAUGAUCCGCCACACUGGGACUGAGACACGGCCCAGACUCCUACGGGAGGCAGCAGUGGGGAAUAUUGGACAAUGGGCGGAAGCCUGAUCCAGCCAUGCCGCGUGUGUGAAGAAGGCCUUUUGGUUGUAAAGCACUUUAAGCGAGGAGGAGGCUACCUGGAUUAAUACUCUAGGAUAGUGGACGUUACUCGCAGAAAAAGCACCGGCUAACUCUGUGCCAGCAGCCGCCGCCGUAA